rnacentral:rRNA from 1 species
AGAUGGGCAUGCGUCUGAUUAGGUAGUUGGUAGGGUAACGGCCUACCAAGCCUGCGAUCAGUAGGGGUCCUGAGAGGGUAAUCCCCCACACUGGUACUGAGACACGGACCAGACUCCUACGGGAGGCAGCAGUGAGGAAUAUUGGUCAAUGGACGAGAGUCUGAACCAGCCAUCCCGCGUGCAGGAUGACGGCCCUAUGGGUUGUAAACUGCUUUUCUACUCCAAGAAACCUGGUUACGAGUAAUCAGUUGCCGGUAGAGUAGGAAUAAGCAUCGGCUAACUCCGUGCCAGCAGCCGCGGUAAUACGGAGGAUGCAAGCGUUAUCCGGAUUCAUUGGGUUUAAAGGGUGCGCAGGUGGGCUUGUAAGUCAGUGGUGAAAUGCUGCCGCUUAACGGUAGAAUUGCCAUUGAUACUGUGAGUCUUGAGUAUGGUUGAGGUAGGCGGAAUGUGCAGUGUAGCGGUGAAAUGCAUAGAUAUUGCACAGAACUCCGAUUGCGAAGGCAGCUUACUAAGCCAUUACUGACGCUGAGGCACGAAAGCGUGGGGAGCGAACAGGAUUAGAUACCCUGGUAGUCCACGCCGUAAACGAUGUUCACUCGCUGUUUGCGAUACACAGCAAGCGGCUGAGCGAAAGCAUUAA